GCGCCACCCCAAUCUCCCCGCUCCGCCGCCGCCGCCCCCCGCCUUCCACUAUCACCCGCUCAGCCACCUCCACCCUCCUCUACAUCGCCGGAGGAACGGGCACACCUGGCGCGCCGCCUCGAGGCCGCGCUCGAGCAGGUAAGGAGGGAGUCGGUGCGGCAGGGCACGGCGCUGGACGAGCUGAGGCAGCGGCUCGAGCGGCGGCGGGCGCGCGCGGACGAGCUCCUCGUCGCCAGGCGGAGGGCCGCCGAGGACGUCGAGCGCCGCAAGGAGCAGAUGCAGGCGCAGAUCGAGCGGGUGCUGCCGCUCUCCAGGGCCCUCGCCGCUGCGCACCGGCAAGUGCAGGAUGCCAAGGAGGGAUUAUCCGUGGAGAGGGCGCGGCUUGGGGAUCUGCAGAGGCUGCUCAGGACGAGGCAGCAGUCCAUGGUAGCCCAGGUCGCCGCCCUGUACCCUAUCAGGGUCUUCCGUGACCUGCCGGUUGCACAAAACCACCAUUCCCGUACCAAUGGAGAGUGUCGAACACCUUCGGAAGAGAAUGGCGCACUUACGCAAGAGAAUGGAAAUGGAACACAUUUGCUCAGCGUUAUCAAGGACAAAGCACAUGUAAGCAGCGUUGGACCCUUGACAUUUUUUGGUUGGCAAAUUGGAAAGCCCAGGACAAAGCAGCGGACUUACAGCCACAAGGAGCUUCAGUGGUCAGCAGCUGUGCUUGGAUAUGCAGCACAUAUCGGUCGACGUGGGCGGGGCUGGUGGCGAUCCCCAGUCGGGCUACAUAGGGCCGACGACGAUCUGGACAGGGGCGGUUUGAGGCGCUCGCGCACAUCGGAGGUCCAGUGGCGGCCGCGUCCUGCAUCAAAGGUGCGGCUAGGAAUCAGAGGAGGAUAUGGGAGGGCAAGAGGAAGGGACCGGGGAGGGGCUCACCGACGCGGCGACGCUUGCCGGAGGCUGGCUGGCGGCUGGGCCACACGGUGACGGCGGCGCGCAUGUGGCGUCCUCCCUGGUGGGGCGAGCAAGAAGGAGGAGGUGCACGGGAGGCGUAGGCGCUGUGGCGAGAUGCGCUUCGGAUGCCCGAGAUCGGGCUGCAGCGGGCCCUGGCGCUGGUGGUGGCUUGGGGGGAGCUGACUUCGACGUCAACUUCUACAUCACACAACGUUCUGUAUCAGAGAAGUUGGGGACGCCCGUGAGCCCGUGACAGUGAGACAGACACGACCUUGACUUGGCCAUGUCCGCCUCUCUGGACUGAUGAUAAUGCUUCACUACUGAGUCAUACCAUGCUCACUAUUAAAGGGGAGCAACCUGGCCUGUUGCAACUCAUGUGAAUUCAUGCGGAUGAUAUGGUAUCUUACAUUUUUCACUAAUCAAAAGUUCACACAGGGAAUCCAUGCCAGUGUGCUUACCUUAGCUCACGUCACUUUCCACUGAGGGUGCAAUCAUUGCCAUGUCCCCAUCGCUGCCGCCAUGCAGGAGAACCUCUCAUUGCUGGAUGUAGCGGCGAUGAUGUUCCUAGAGAGAUGUGAAGCGGCAGGGAGGCACAACUAGGUACAGGGCGCUACAAUAGUGACUCAUUGCCGUCGAACGACCCUCCCGCUUAGGCGAUGCUCCUGGCCUUGCAUGGUAGACAACAUAUAUACCUCCAACGAAACAUCAUGUGUAGUAGAUGGCGCUGCACCUCACUUGCAGUGAGUGGUGAAGCAUGGUGCCACGAGUGUGGCUGAUGUGCUGCUGGAGAAGGACACGAUCUUCAAGUAGUCGGCAUGAACAGCCACCGGAUUUUUUUAUGACGAUGCAAGUGGUCUGAAGAUGUCUUUGUGACAAAAUAUUUGCAAAGUGAUCAGGGAGAUAUCUGAUGGAACAUGCCGAAACGAUUUUGGGCCUACAAUAUAAAAACAAUGAAAUUGCAAACUUUCUUAGGGAGAUAUGUGAUGGGAUGUGAAAAGCUACCCCCCACCCAACCAACCCCGUUACGACGCUCUAUGAGUGCUUCCUGUAAGAAGAGGAGACACUUGUGCAUGCUGCUCAAGGUGAUACACAAGAUUGAGUGAUGGUCUUGCAAGCUCAGGGCAAUCAUGGAAGUAGUGUAGUUCCUUUGUGUGUGAGAGACCCACAAAGGAUUGCUUAAUGAGCUUGAGUCUGCGUAGGUUGAACACCAAAGAGUGAUUGUGGUGCUCUAUGAAAUACUAAAAUGCAGGUGCUGCAGCGGUUGUUCAUUGAUAUUAUGUAGCUUUCCUUUGCAUACGCUUGCAACUACAUAUACAUGUGGCCACAUAUGAUAAGUUGGCAGUGAACUUUCAAAUACAG
rnacentral:rRNA from 1 species